rnacentral:rRNA from 1 species
UACGGGGGGGGCAAGCGUUGUUCGGAAUUACUGGGCGUAAAGGGCGCGUAGGCGGCCUUCUAAGUCGGACGUGAAAUCCCUCGGCUUAACCGAGGAACUGCGUCCGAGACUGAAAGGCUUGAAUCCGGGAGAGGGAUGUGGAAUUCCAGGUGUAGCGGUGAAAUGCGUAGAUAUCUGGAGGAACACCGGUGGCGAAGGCGGCUCUCUGGGACGGUACUGACGCUGAGACGCGAAAGCUAGGGGAGCAAACGGG